rnacentral:rRNA from 1 species
CAGCUAAGGUCCCAAAAUAUAUGUUAAGUGGAAAAGGAUGUGGCGUUGCCCAGACAACUAGGAUGUUGGCUUAGAAGCAGCCAUCAUUUAAAGAGUGCGUAAUAGCUCACUAGUCGAGUGACACUGCGCCGAAAAUGUACCGGGGCUAAACAUAUUACCGAAGCUGUGGAUUGUCCUUUGGACAAUGGUAGGAGAGCGUUCUAAGGGCGUUGAAGCAUGAUCGUAAGGACAUGUGGAGCGCUUAGAAGUGAGAAUGCCGGUGUGAGUAGCGAAAGACGGGUGAGAAUCCCGUCCACCGAUUGACUAAGGUUUCCAGAGGAAGGCUCGUCCGCUCUGGGUUAGUCGGGUCCUAAGCUGAGGCCGACAGGCGUAGGCGAUGGAUAACAGGUUGAUAUUCCUGUACCACCUAUAAUCGUUUUAAUCGAUGGGGGGACGCAGUAGGAUAGGCGAAGCGUGCGAUUGGAUUGCACGUCUAAGCAGUAAGGCUGAGUAUUAGGCAAAUCCGGUACUCAUUAAGGCUGAGCUGUGAUGGGGAGAAGACAUUGUGUCUUCGAGUCGUUGAUUUCACACUGCCGAGAAAAGCCUCUAGAUAGAAAAUAGGUGCCCGUACCGCAAACCGACACAGGUAGUCAAGAUGAGAAUUCUAAGGUGAGCGAGCGAACUCUCGUUAAGGAACUCGGCAAAAUGACCCCGUAACUUCGGGAGAAGGGGUGCUCUUUAGGGUUAACGCCCAGAAGAGCCGCAGUGAAUAGGCCCAAGCGACUGUUUAUCAAAAACACAGGUCUCUGCUAAACCGUAAGGUGAUGUAUAGGGGCUGACGCCUGCCCGGUGCUGGAAGGUUAAGAGGAGUGGUUAGCUUCUGCGAAGCUACGAAUCGAAGCCCCAGUAAACGGCGGCCGUAACUAUAACGGUCCUAAGGUAGCGAAAUUCCUUGUCGGGUAAGUUCCGACCCGCACGAAAGGCGUAACGAUUUGGGCACUGUCUCAACGAGAGACUCGGUGAAAUCAUAGUACCUGUGAAGAUGCAGGUUACCCGCGACAGGACGGAAAGACCCCGUGGAGCUUUACUGUAGCCUGAUAUUGAAAUUCGGCACAGCUUGUACAGGAUAGGUAGGAGCCUUUGAAACGUGAGCGCUAGCUUACGUGGAGGCGCUGGUGGGAUACUACCCUAGCUGUGUUGGCUUUCUAACCCGCACCACUUAUCGUGGUGGGAGACAGUGUCAGGCGGGCAGUUUGACUGGGGCGGUCGCCUCCUAAAAGGUAACGGAGGCGCUCAAAGGUUCCCUCAGAAUGGUUGGAAAUCAUUCAUAGAGUGUAAAGGCAUAAGGGAGCUUGACUGCGAGACCUACAAGUCGAGCAGGGUCGAAAGACGGACUUAGUGAUCCGGUGGUUCCGCAUGGAAGGGCCAUCGCUCAACGGAUAAAAGCUACCCCGGGGAUAACAGGCUUAUCUCCCCCAAGAGUUCACAUCGACGGGGAGGUUUGGCACCUCGAUGUCGGCUCAUCGCAUCCUGGGGCUGUAGUCGGUCCCAAGGGUUGGGCUGUUCGCCCAUUAAAGCGGUACGCGAGCUGGGUUCAGAACGUCGUGAGACAGUUCGGUCCCUAUCCGUCGUGGGCGUAGGAAAUUUGAGAGGAGCUGUCCUUAGUACGAGAGGACCGGGAUGGACAUACCUCUGGUGUACCAAUUGUCGUGCCAACGGCAUAGCUGGGUAGCUAUGUGUGGACGGGAUAAGUGCUGAAAGCAUCUAAGCAUGAAGCCCCCCUCAAGAUGAGAUUUCCCAACUUCGGUUAUAAGAUCCCUCAAAGAUGAUGAGGUUAAUAGGUUCGAGGUGGAAGCAUGGUGACAUGUGGAGCUGACGAAUACUAAUCGAUCGAAGACUUAAUCAA